rnacentral:tRNA from 1 species
GUUAAUAUAGUUUAAUAAAACAUCAGACUGUGAACCUGAAGACAGGACAUGAAAAUCCUUAUUAACC